rnacentral:lncRNA from 1 species
AGAGAGAGACAGGCCUUCCGUAUCCUUCUUAAGCCCUUAGCCCUCUUCAGCUGUUCCUCAGCUGGAUCUUUCAUCCCCCCACACAUAGGCUUUGUGUUUUUCCAGAUCUGAGACUGAUCUUGAGUGGCAGCAGAAGGCCCUCAAGCAGCUUAAUAUUGAUGAAAUUCCUGAUUUUGUUGCUCUGAGAUAUUGUGGUGCCUUCACUUCUACUUUUGGGUGUCUUUGUGGUGAUUUAAAUCGUGUAUUUCAAACCUCACCUGGACUAGCCGGUCCCAGUGAAAGCUUCUGCAAUUCUGUACCAUUCCCCAAGUGGAAUCUCAUAUUCUUACUUCGUUGACUCAUUGAUUCUGUUCUGAUUCUCAGUCUCCAGUGCUUAUGCAUCUUCAGGAUGCUGACUCCAGACUGAUAAAGACUGUAAGGGAAUCUUUAUGCAGAUCAGAAAAAGGAGCAUCUUCUGGGUGUUGGCUAUAUCCUGUGCACAUGACAAUGUGUGCAUUGUGUGGGGACAGUAUUGUGGGAGAUAUUUUCUUUGCAAACCUAAGAGAUUGUGCACCAAGGACAACCGUUGAAAAGCAUUAGUGGCCAUUUUUAUGUAAUAGAAAAUUUCAACUGCUCAGACAACUUGGACAAGCUCCGGGAAGGAAAUGAAUGUUUUCUUCUCCAAUGUGUCAUUUUGUAUUAGCAGAAGCUGGACAGUUUGAGAAUUAUUGCUUGUAUAUCUGGAAUUAAAUUUCUAACACUUUGAAUGCUCAUCCUUUACACUGGGUCCAUGUUCUCAAAAGUUUAGCCAGUAAUAGUGUUUUCUGCCACAAUAAAUACAGGUUGGGGAAGUUAAUCA